ensembl:lncRNA
UAAGUUAAUAUAAAAUAUAUUUUAAUAAUAAAAUAUAAGUUAGGAUUUAAGAGUGUAUUAAAUAUAGGAAAACUGUAUUAAAUAUAUGAAAAGAGCCAAGUUAAAUAACAGCUACAUUCAAUUUUUGUAAACCGGUAAGAGAUUCCUGCACUAUUUACAUAUAUCAAAUGGGACUAAAUGUUUAAAUGGAAUUCCUGAAACUUUUCAAGUUCUACUAUCAGUGAUGAAAUAAGAAGUCAGUUGGCCGGGCGUGGUGGCUCAUGCCUGUAAUCCCAGCACUUUGGGAGGCUGAGGUGGGCGAAUCAUGAGGUCAGGAGAUCGAGACCAUCUUGUCUAACAUGGUGAAACCCCAUCUCUACUAAAAAUACAAAAAAAUUAGCCGGGUUUGGUGGCAGGCGCCUGUAGUCCCAGCUACUUGGGAGGCUGAGGCAGGAGAAUGACGUGAACCCGGGAGGCAGAGCUUGCCAGUGAGCCAAGAUCGCACCACUGGGCGACAGAGCCAGAAUCCAUCUCCAAAAAAAACCACAAGUCAGUUAAAGUGAAUACUACGUAAAUAAUUCUGAGUACACGUUGAGGCAGGCACCUACUCUGGAAAGGUAUGAAAAAAGAAAUAUAUGCUUGUUACCUGUCUGAGGUUGAUGCCUCUGGUUCCAGCAUAAGGGCUUUCUUUGAGUGGUUUGCCAUAAGACUAUGUUACCUGGACUUUCCAGAUAUAAAUUCCUGUUUGGCUGAGGGAUGGAUCCUCAUGCUCUUCUUGUCUCAGAAGGUUUCCCAAUUCCAACAAAACCCAGUGUUGAUCCAGUAGAAGAGCUAACCAAGCAGGAUGCCUUUCCUCGAGCAGAGCU